rnacentral:tRNA from 2 species
CACUAGAGAGCUGUUUAGCAUUGGUCUUUUAACCCAAAGAAAAUAAUUUUUUAUUUCUAGUGA